GGAGGGGGAAAAAAUAUAACAAAAUCAAUAAAUUCCUGCACCUCAGAAAAUUGUAUCUUCAGUGGAUGCUUACAAACCUUGUUGCACGUAGCAUAAUUGGAAGAAAGAUUUUUAAACAGUUAUGCAGUUACAACCACCUCUUCCAUCCCUCCUUGAAGAACUCGUGAGUGAUUACUGGCAGCACCUUCCAAUCCACCUGGUUGAAGUAUAAGGGCUGCGUGCCAUGAAGGAGCUAAAAGGCUCUGCAAAAUUCGUACACAUAGAGGAAGGACAUUACUCUCAGAUAAGAGAAAAAGAAGAAAAGCAAGAAAAAAUUGAAAACUUCAGUGAAAACCUUAGUCUGGAUGAACAAGGAACUCGGUUUUACCUCCAAAAAGGUUAAGGUCACCAGACUAGCCUUCCUACUUUCUUACUGCAGGGACAAAAGAAUACACCACAAAGCAAGUAGUGCACGUAGCACAAUUGGCAGCUGGCUUGAAAAUGCUUGGGUUCAAUUGACUAUGAAGAAUGAAUUACCCUUAUGUUUGAACAAAAAAA